GUCUACAGUCAUGCCACCCUGAACAAUCCACAUCCCGUCUGAUCUUGAAAGCUAAGCAGGGUUGGGCCUGGUUAGUACUUGGAUGGGAGACCACCUAGGAAGACCAGGUACUGUAAGCG
ensembl:rRNA 5S_rRNA 5S ribosomal RNA